ACUAAAUAGAUACCCCGGUAGUCCACGCCCUAAACGAUGUCUACUAGUUGUUGGUGGAGUAAAAUCCAUGAGUAAACGCAGCUAAACGCGUGAAGUAGACCGCCUGGGGAGUACGGUCGCAAGAUUAAAACUCAAAGGAAUUGACGGGGGCCCGCACAAGCGGUGGAUUAUGUGGAUUAAUUCGAUGCAACGCGAAAAACCUUACCUGGCCUUGACAUGCCACUAACGAAGCAGAGAUGCAUUAGGUGCCCGUAAGGGAAAGUGGACACAGGUGCUGCAUGGCUGUCGUCAGCCCGUGUCGUGAGAUGUUGGGUUAAGUCCCGCAACGAGCGCAACCCUUGCCAUUAAUUGCCAUCAUUUAGUUGGGCACUUUAAUGGGACUGCCGGUGACAAACCGGAGGAAGGUGGGGAUGACGUCAAGUCCUCAUGGCCCUUAUGGCCAGGGCUUCACACGUAAUACAAUGGUCGGUACAGAGAGUUGCC
rnacentral:rRNA from 1 species